rnacentral:rRNA from 2 species
GCUGAAGCACCAGCUUGCUGGUGUGGAUGAGUGGCGAACGGGUGAGUAAUACGUGAGUAACCUGCCCUUGACUCUGGGAUAAGCCCGGGAAACUGGGUCUAAUACUGGAUGCUACAUGUCACCGCAUGGUGGUGUGUGGAAAGGGUUUACUGGUCUUGGAUGGGCUCACGGCCUAUCAGCUUGUUGGUGAGGUAAUGGCUCACCAAGGCGACGACGGGUAGCCGGCCUGAGAGGGUGACCGGCCACACUGGGACUGAGACACGGCCCAGACUCCUACGGGAGGCAGCAGUGGGGAAUAUUGCACAAUGGGCGAAAGCCUGAUGCAGCGACGCCGCGUGAGGGAUGACGGCCUUCGGGUUGUAAACCUCUUUCAGCAGGGAAGAAGCCACAAGUGACGGUACCUGCAGAAGAAGCGCCGGCUAACUACGUGCCAGCAGCCGCGGUAAUACGUAGGGCGCAAGCGUUGUCCGGAAUUAUUGGGCGUAAAGAGCUCGUAGGCGGUUUGUCGCGUCUGCUGUGAAAGCCCGGGGCUUAACCCCGGGUGUGCAGUGGGUACGGGCAGACUAGAGUGCAGUAGGGGAGACUGGAAUUCCUGGUGUAGCGGUGGAAUGCGCAGAUAUCAGGAGGAACACCGAUGGCGAAGGCAGGUCUCUGGGCUGUUACUGACGCUGAGGAGCGAAAGCAUGGGGAGCGAACAGGAUUAGAUACCCUGGUAGUCCAUGCCGUAAACGUUGGGCACUAGGUGUGGGGGACAUUCCACGUUUUCCGCGCCGUAGCUAACGCAUUAAGUGCCCCG